AUGGUGUGCUUGUCUGACAGACAGGGCAGCUGAGGGGAAUAAGUCUCUGCAGCGUUGUAGUGAAGAGAGAAUACGGGACAACUGCAGGACCACAGCUCAGCCAAGAGCUCCCUUGCAGCUGAGUUGGCCAUAUGACUGACAGCAAGCCCUGGAAUGCAGCCAGAAGUGAUGGAAGCCUCUUUCACACCAUGCUCCUAAAAUAUUCCAAGAAAUUUUCCAAACCCACUCUUUUUAGUCUGUGCAUCUGGAAGUGAAAGUUUUAGAAAGGGUAAAGUCACUUAAUGGAAAGGGCCCAGAUCUAGCCCCUCGGAGCCAAGCUGUUCAACUAGAAAUUCUGCAUUAGUAUUUGCGGCCCCAGUAAAAAAAAAAAGUCCCACAAAGAUGUAGGAUCUCACUUUGCCUGCAUUAAUUCCCUGUCCUUUGCGCAAUUUCUCCUCUCUUGGAAGGCAGAGGCAGCUUCUGAUUUUGAUCACUUCAUGUCCAGUAGGACCUCCUGCUUCAGACUCUAAGCUUCUGGAGAACAGGAACUGCAUCUUUUCUAUUUCACAUACCCAACUCCUCACACAAUGCAUGAUGCAAGUGGGAA
rnacentral:lncRNA from 1 species